rnacentral:rRNA from 1 species
ACGAAGCGCUUAAAUGGAUUUCUUCGGAUUGAAGUUUUUGUGACUGAGUGGCGGACGGGUGAGUAACGCGUGGGUAACCUGCCUCAUACAGGGGGAUAACAGUUAGAAAUGACUGCUAAUACCGCAUAAGCGCACAGUGCUGCAUGGCACAGUGUGAAAAACUCCGGUGGUAUGAGAUGGACCCGCGUCUGAUUAGCUAGUUGGUGGGGUAACGGCCUACCAAGGCGACGAUCAGUAGCCGGCCUGAGAGGGUGAACGGCCACAUUGGGACUGAGACACGGCCCAAACUCCUACGGGAGGCAGCAGUGGGGAAUAUUGCACAAUGGGGGAAACCCUGAUGCAGCGACGCCGCGUGAGCGAAGAAGUAUUUCGGUAUGUAAAGCUCUAUCAGCAGGGAAGAAAAUGACGGUACCUGACUAAGAAGCACCGGCUAAAUACGUGCCAGCAGCCGCGGUAAUACGUACGGUGCAAGCGUUAUCCGGAUUUACUGGGUGUAAAGGGAGCGUAGACGGUUGUGUAAGUCUGAUGUGAAAGCCCGGGGCUCAACCCCGGGACUGCAUUGGAAACUAUGUAACUAGAGUGUCGGAGAGGUAAGCGGAAUUCCUAGUGUAGCGGUGAAAUGCGUAGAUAUUAGGAGGAACACCAGUGGCGAAGGCGGCUUACUGGACGAUCACUGACGUUGAGGCUCGAAAGCGUGGGGAGCAAACAGGAUUAGAUACCCUGGUAGUCCACGCCGUAAACGAUGACUACUAGGUGUCGGGGAGCAAAGCUCUUCGGUGCCGCAGCAAACGCAAUAAGUAGUCCACCUGGGGAGUACGUUCGCAAGAAUGAAACUCAAAGG